rnacentral:rRNA from 1 species
AACGAACGCUGGCGGCAUGCCUAACACAUACAAGUCGAACGAGACCUUCGGGUCUAGUGGCGCACGGGUGCGUAACGCGUGGGAACCUGCCCUUAGGUUCGGAAUAACUCCCCGAAAGGGGUGCGAAUACCGGAUAAUGUCUUCGGACCAAAGAUUUAUAGCCUUUGGAUGGGCCCGCGUUGGAUUAGCUAGUUGGUAGGGUAAAAGCCUACCAAGGCGACGAUCCAUAGCUGGUCUGAGAGGAUGAUCAGCCACACUGGGACUGAGACACGGCCCAGACUCCUACGGGAGGCAGCAGUGGGGAAUAUUGGACAAUGGGCGAAAGCCUGAUCCAGCAAUGCCGCGUGAGUGAUGAAGGCCUUAGGGUUGUAAAGCUCUUUUACCCGGGAUGAUAAUGACAGUACCGGGAGAAUAAGCUCCGGCUAACUCCGUG